rnacentral:rRNA from 1 species
AGCGAACGCUGGCGGCAGGCUUAACACAUGCAAGUCGAGCGGACCUUUCGGGGUCAGCGGCGGACGGGUGAGUCACGCGUGGGAACGUGCCUUCCGGUUCGGAAUAACCCUGGGAAACUAGGGCUAAUACCGGAUACGCCCUUAUGGGGAAAGGUUUACUGCCGGACGAUCGGCCCGCGUCUGAUUAGCUAGUUGGUGGGGUAAUGGCCUACCCAGGCGACGAUCAGUAGCUGGUCUGAGAGGAUGAUCAGCCACACUGGGACUGAGACACGGCCCAGACUCCUACGGGAAGCAGCAGUGGGGAAUAGUGGACAAUGGGCGCAAGCCUGAUCCAGCCAUGCCGCGUGAGUGAUGAAGGCAUUAGGGUUGUAAAGCUCUUGUAUCCGGGACGAUAAUGACGGUACCGGAGGAAUAAGCCCCGGCUAACUUCGUG